GACAGAGGGUGCAAACGUUGCUCGGAAUCACUGGGCGUAAAGGGCGUGUAGGCGGGAAGGAAAGUCGGGCGUGAAAUCCCUGGGCUCAACCCAGGAACUGCACUCGAAAACUUCUUUUCUUGAGUGCCGGAGAGGAAAGCGGAAUUCCUGGUGUAGAGGUGAAAUGCGUAGAUACCAGGAGGAACACCGAUGGCGAAGGCAGGUCACUGGGCCGCAACUGACGCUGGAGGAGCGGAAAGCAUGGGGAGCGAACAGG
rnacentral:rRNA from 1 species